rnacentral:rRNA from 1 species
GACGAACGCUGGCGGCGUGCUUAACACAUGCAAGUCGAACGGAAAGGCCCUGCUUUUGUGGGGUGCUCGAGUGGCGAACGGGUGAGUAACACGUGAGUAACCUGCCCUUGACUUUGGGAUAACUUCAGGAAACUGGGGCUAAUACCGGAUAGGAGCUCCUGCUGCAUGGUGGGGGUUGGAAAGUUUCGGCGGUUGGGGAUGGACUCGCGGCUUAUCAGCUUGUUGGUGGGGUAGUGGCUUACCAAGGCUUUGACGGGUAGCCGGCCUGAGAGGGUGACCGGCCACAUUGGGACUGAGAUACGGCCCAGACUCCUACGGGAGGCAGCAGUGGGGAAUAUUGCACAAUGGGCGGAAGCCUGAUGCAGCAACGCCGCGUGCGGGAUGACGGCCUUCGGGUUGUAAACCGCUUUCGCCUGUGGCGAAGCGUGAGUGACGGUAAUGGGUAAAGAAGCACCGGCUAACUACGUGCCAGCAGCCGCGGUGAUACGUAGGGUGCGAGCGUUGUCCGGAUUUAUUGGGCGUAAAGGGCUCGUAGGUGGUUGAUCGCGUCGGAAGUGUAAUCUUGGGGCUUAACCCUGAGCGUGCUUUCGAUACGGGUUGACUUGAGGAAAGGUAGGGGAGAAUGGAAUUCCUGGUGGAGCGGUGGAAUGCGCAGAUAUCAGGAGGAACACCAGUGGCGAAGGCGGUUCUCUGGGCCUUUCCUGACGCUGAGGAGCGAAAGCGUGGGGAGCGAACAGGCUUAGAUACCCUGGUAGUCCACGCUGUAAACGGUGGGUACUAGGUGUGGGGUCCAUUCCACGGGUUCCGUGCCGUAGCUAACGCUUUAAGUACCCCGCCUGGGGAGUACGGCCGCAAGGCUAAAACUCAAAGGAAUUGACGGGGCCCCGCACAAGCGGCGGAGCAUGCGGAUUAAUUCGAUGCAACGCGUAGAACCUUACCUGGGUUUGACAUGGAUCGGGAGUGCUCAGAGAUGGGUGUGCCUCUUUUGGGGUCGGUUCACAGGUGGUGCAUGGCUGUCGUCAGCUCGUGUCGUGAGAUGUUGGGUUAAGUCCCGCAACGAGCGCAACCCUUGUUCACUGUUGCCAGCACGUUAUGGUGGGGACUCAGUGGAGACCGCCGGGGUCAACUCGGAGGAAGGUGGGGAUGACGUCAAGUCAUCAUGCCCCUUAUGUCCAGGGCUUCACGCAUGCUACAAUGGCUGGUACAGAGAGUGGCGAGCCUGUGAGGGUGAGCGAAUCUCGGAAAGCCGGUCUCAGUUCGGAUUGGGGUCUGCAACUCGACCUCAUGAAGUCGGAGUCGCUAGUAAUCGCAGAUCAGCAACACUGCGGUGAAUACGUUCCCGGGGCU